CUCUCUCUCUCUCUCUCUCUCUCUGUCUCUCUCUCGCUCUUGGAGUUAAAAGAGGAAAAUUGGAAAAAGUGGGGUUCUCUGAUCUGGCAGAUGAUCGGGCAUAGGUACAGUCCCCUACCUUUGUUUGGAUUUUUUUUCACCAGGAGAGAAGCGAAUCGAGAGGUGGAAGGGAUCGAUCCACCAACAGUUCUAUUUCGCGAAUCAAGACUCAUUCGGAGCAGGCUUUUUUUUUUUUUCUUCUUUUUCC